AGACAAAAUUUGAGUAUCGUUCGAUAGCGAAUUUUCACGGUUUUUUCAAUUAUAAAUUGAAAAAAAUUGAUAUUUCUAAGCCGAUUUUCGAACUUCCGACCAUGGCAAAGGAAAGAGCAUACUUUUUUCUAUAUAAUGGCAUAUUCUUUAGAGAUCAUUUCUAAAUAGUUAAAAUUUUAUGAAGAAUAUAGACAAAAUUUGAGUAUCGUUCGAUAGCGAAUUUUCACGGUUUUUUCAAAUAUAAAUU